rnacentral:lncRNA from 1 species
UUGCAUUAAUAAUAAUAUGGAGUGUUAUGAUUAAUCAGAAGGGCACAAACACAGCGAGUUAAUUGCAGGUUGCUGAUUACAGACUCUGAGAUUCAGACUAAUGCGGUAAGCGGACAAAGAACCAGAUUUAAAUAUGAUGCAGCAUUACUGAUUGCCCUGAAGUUUUCAGUAGUGUAACACAGAUCCAAAUCUAACCCGUGGUCUUCUUUUUCUACUCAGUUAGGCUUUUUUAGACAGGUAAUUAGAUGAGCUGAAUACCCUGUUCUUUGACUCUAGUGCCUAAGUGGAAAAGCUUUGUAUAUCAGCUUAUUGUGAGCCUAGCAAGUGAGCAUUCAGUCACUGAUGCCAAGAAGUUAAUGACUCAGCCCUAUGUUUUCUGGAGAGAACUUGGCUGUUUAUCUGAGAGGCAAGGCGAGUUCCCGAAAGGAAGGAAAGUGAUGGUCACUGAAAGGGACAAGCUAAGGACUAUUCUACAUUUGGGAUACAGAGCUUUUGGGAAGAAGAAUGCACCACAUCUGCUUCUGUGGCAUAUGGUAUCUGACAAGAGGAUCUGGGACUAUUUUCUGGACAGGACAAACGUGGUGUUUUCUCCAGCAGUGGGUUGGAAGCAGUGCUGCCCUAGGAAGUGGUGUUGA